rnacentral:tRNA from 1 species
GGCCCGUUAGCUCAGUUGGUUAGAGCAUCGUGCUAAUAACGCGAAGGUCGCGGGUUCGAUCCCCUCACGGGCCA